rnacentral:misc_RNA from 1 species
AACUUGCCCAGAUUGAAAAUAAUCUGGAUUCAUGCUGUAAUAAUCAUUCUGCGAAACCUGUGUCCCAAAUGAGUCUGAGGAGGCAGCUGUGCUUGAAGUUUCUGGAGUAGUGUAAGUACUAGGAGUAACUUGUGCAACCCCAAACUCAUUCGCAACGAACCCUGCUCCGCCAUGAGCCACAGCCGCCCAUUGCCCGUUGCCCAUGUCGGUGUUGUUGAUUAUUAGGUGGUUGUGAUGAUUGGGGUCUGUGGUGGUGCUGGCAGUGGCUACACCGGUGGUUGGUGCAGCUGUAUUAGCAGUGCUAAUGCUAGUGGCGGUGGUGUUGGCUGCUUGAAUUCUUUCAAUUAAUCUAGGCAUCCAUAGAUAUUUCAUGGUGUCCUUGAAUUGCUUGCUGUUCACGUCACAUUUAAGCUGCUUA